rnacentral:rRNA from 1 species
GACGAACGCUGGCGGCGUGCCUAAUACAUGCAAGUAGAACGCUGAAGGAGGAGCUUGCUCUUCUGGAUGAGUUGCGAACGGGUGAGUAACGCGUAGGUAACCUGCCUGGUAGCGGGGGAUAACUAUUGGAAACGAUAGCUAAUACCGCAUAACAGUAGAUGUUGCAUGACAUUUACUUAAAAGGUGCAAUUGCAUCACUACCAGAUGGACCUGCGUUGUAUUAGCUAGUUGGUGGGGUAACGGCUCACCAAGGCGACGAUACAUAGCCGACCUGAGAGGGUGAUCGGCCACACUGGGACUGAGACACGGCCCAGACUCCUACGGGAGGCAGCAGUAGGGAAUCUUCGGCAAUGGACGGAAGUCUGACCGAGCAACGCCGCGUGAGUGAAGAAGGGUUUCGGAUCGUAAAGCUCUGUUGUAAGAGAAGAACGAGUGUGAGAGUGGAAAGUUCACACUGUGACGGUAUCUGACCAGAAAGGGACGGCUAACUACGUG